rnacentral:rRNA from 1 species
UACGGAGGGGGCUAGCGUUGUUCGGAAUUACUGGGCGUAAAGCGCGUGUAGGCUGUUUUGCAAGUCGGAUGUGAAAGCCCUGGGCUCAACCUAGGAAGUGCACUCGAAACUGCAGAACUGGAGUCCUGGAGAGGAAGGCGGAAUUCUCGGUGUAGAGGUGAAAUUCGUAGAUAUCGAGAGGAACACCGGUGGCGAAGGCGGCCUUCUGGACAGUGACUGACGCUGAGACGCGAAAGCGUGGGGAGCAAACAGG